GAUACAAAAAAACACGAAGCAGGCGAUGGACAAAACAUGCAAAUUUUGUCCAGAUGAGGCCCAGACAAAAUCCAGUAUGAGUUCAAUAAUGGCAUUCAACUGGAUGGAUGCGGUGUCUACGUUUUGUGACAACUAAGACGACAAAACUGUUCCUGUACAUCAAAGACACAACAGGAAGGCCCCUAAUAAACACAAUUUGGAAUGCGGUGGUCGAAGUGCUUGGGAAGUAAUGAGACAACACGAUGACUUCAAAACAGCACCAUUGUCGUCCAGCACAAACACAACGCCUAUAUUCAAGAUGCUUCGAGAAACUGACAGCUA